rnacentral:rRNA from 1 species
UGGGGAAUAUUGCACAAUGGGCGCAAGCCUGAUGCAGCCAUGCCGCGUGUGUGAAGAAGGCCUUAGGGUUGUAAAGCACUUUCAGCAGUGAGGAAAGGUUGUAACUUAAUACGUUGCAGCUGUGACGUUAACUGCAGAAGAAGGACCGGCUAACUCC